AAUGAUGCUCAAAUAUUGCAUGACAACCGGGGAACCUAGCAACAGUAUAUUGUUACAGGAAAACCACUUCUUCCCCAGCUCCUGGGAACAUUGCAACUAAGGCCACAGAAACCUGGAGAGGGGUGGCAGAUGGCAUCAUAAUGCCUCCUGAUCACUAGGUCACUGACUCUGUGAGGCCUGGCUCCAAUACACCGCUGCUUAUCAUGAGGAACAUAUAAGGUGGCUAAUCACAUAUUUCCAAAAGAAAGGAGAAGGAAUCACCCCAAAAAAUCAGAACUGGGCUGGACUCAGUCUUUCAGAGACAUCUGCCUUCAUGUCUGUCUUCUGGAAAUGCAGGAUCCACGGCCACACACAGAAGGUGAUGUUUUGAGGAUGGGGAAUCACACUGAAUUGGAGUAAUAAUAACAAUGAGAAUCGUGUACCAUCAAGCCAUUUCUGAUACUGUGACCCUCUUUAAGGUUUUCUAGGUAGAGAAUACUUAAAAGUGGUUUCUUAUUCUCUUCUUCUGGGGGCGCCUAGGGACUAUGCAGCCUGCUGAAGGCCACACAGUCUGACUCUUCUUCCUGGAGCAGUGUUUUCCCGCCUGGAGGUCAUGACUCCCAAGGGGGCUGCAAAGUGUUUUCUGGGGGAUCAUGGGCUGCCUCAUAUGUGUUGUAGCCCUUGUUAAAUAACUUCUUCCUUGACUUUUCGAAGCGGGAGAUUAACAUUAGCGUGUAUGUGUAUGUAUGAGAAACAGGCUGUUUGCGGGAGAAAG
rnacentral:lncRNA from 1 species